CCUGCAAAACGUUCUAUCGCUGUUCGCCGCAAGGCGGGCGGAGGAAAGUCCGGGCAACACAGAGCAUCCUGCUUCCUAACGGGAAGGCACCCGCAGCGGGUGACAGCAAGUGCCACAGAGAAUAUACCGCCUGUUAGUAAUAAUGGGUAAGGGUGAAAACGUGAGGUAAGAGCUCACGGCUUUCGCGGGUGAUCGCGAUCGCGGUAAACCUCAGGAGUUGAAAGGCCAAAUAGGUGUCGGACGCGGGGCUGCUCGUCCCCUUCACAACGUCAAGUUGGGAUGUCGGCAUGGGUAGGCCGUUAAAGCUGUGCGGCAACGUACAGAAAAGAUCAAUGAUAGAAGCUCCCGUCAAACGGAGAACAGAACCCGGCUUAUAGCUUUGCAGCUGAU
rnacentral:RNase_P_RNA from 1 species